AUUGAACGCUGGCGGCAGGCCUAACACAUGCAAGUCGAACGAGUGGCGGACGGGUGAGUAAUGUCUGGGAAACUGCCCGAUGGAGGGGAUUACUACUGGAAACGGUAGCUAAUACCGCAUACCAUCUGAUGUGCUCAGAUGGGAUUAGCUAGUCGGUGGGGUAACGGCUCACCUAGGCGACGAUGCCUAGCUGGUCUGAGAGACUGAACAGCCACAGUGGGACUGAGACACGGGCCAGACGCCUACGGGAGGCAGCAGUAGGGAAUAUUGCACAAUGGGCGAAAGCCUGAUGCAGCAAUGCCGCGUGUAUGAAGAAGGCCUUCGGAUUGUAAAGUACUUUUAGCGAGGAGGCGUUACUCAAAGAAGAAGCACCGGCUAACUACGUGCCAGCAGCCGCGGUAAUAC
rnacentral:rRNA from 1 species